UGUGCACCGGUGGGGUCCCUCAGCCUGGCCUGUGCCCUCUCACAAACUGGGACCUCUCAGGGGAUGUUGGAGAGCCAGUUUUGGCCUGAUUCUGCAGGCCGGGCUGAGGGACCCCACUGGUGCACA
rnacentral:pre_miRNA from 1 species